rnacentral:rRNA from 1 species
GAUGAACGCUAGCGGCAGGCUUAAUACAUGCAAGUCGAGGGGUAACAGGUCUGUAGCAAUACAGAUGCUGACGACCGGCAAACGGGUGCGGAACACGUACAGAACCUUCCUUCGAGUGGGAGAUAGCCCAGGGAAACUUAGAGUAAUAUCCCAUAGGAUCAUAGAGUGGCCUCACUUAGUGAUUAAAGAUUUAUCGCUUGAAGAUGGAUGUGCGGCUGAUUAGGUAGUUGGUGUAGGUAACGGCUGACCAAGCCUUCGAUCAGUAACUGGUGUGAGAGCACGACCAGUAACACGGGCACUGAGACACGGGCCGACUCCUACGGGAGGCAGCAGUAAGGAAUAUUGGGCAAUGGAGGCAACUCUGACCCAGCCAUGCCGCGUGGAGGAUGAAGGUCCUCUGGAUUGUAAACUUCUUUUAUUUGGGAAGAAAUGCCGAUUUUCUAAUUGGUUUGACGGUACCAGAUGAAUAAGCACCGGCUAACUCCGUGCCAGCCGCCGCGGUAACAC